GCUGGGCGCUGUGGUGCAUGCCUGUAAUCCCAGCCACCUGGGAGGCUGAGGCAGAAGGAUUGCAAGUUCAAAGCCAACCUCAGUGACUUGGCAAGGUCCUAAGCAACUUAGUGAGACCCUGUCUCUC
rnacentral:sRNA from 1 species